rnacentral:rRNA from 1 species
ACAUGCAAGUCGAGCGGGCGUAGCAGUACGUCAGCGGCAGACGGGUGAGUAACGCGUGGGAACGUACCUUUUGGUUCGGAACAACACAGGGAAACUUGUGCUAAUACCGGAUAAGCCCUUACGGGGAAAGAUUUAUCGCCGAAAGAUCGGCCCGCGUCUGAUUAGCUAGUUGGUGAGGUAACGGCUCACCAAGGCGACGAUCAGUAGCUGGUCUGAGAGGAUGAUCAGCCACAUUGGGACUGAGACACGGCCCAAACUCCUACGGGAGGCAGCAGUGGGGAAUAUUGGACAAUGGGCGCAAGCCUGAUCCAGCCAUGCCGCGUGAGUGAUGAAGGCCCUAGGGUUGUAAAGCUCUUUUGUGCGGGAAGAUAAUGACGGUACCGCAAGAAUAAGCCCCGGCUAACUUCGUGCCAGCAGCCGCGGUAAUACGAAGGGGGCUAGCGUUGCUCGGAAUCACUGGGCGUAAAGGGUGCGUAGGCGGGUCUUUAAGUCAGGGGUGAAAUCCUGGAGCUCAACUCCAGAACUGCCUUUGAUACUGAAGAUCUUGAGUUCGGGAGAGGUGAGUGGAACUGCGAGUGUAGAGGUGAAAUUCGUAGAUAUUCGCAAGAACACCAGUGGCGAAGGCGGCUCACUGGCCCGAUACUGACGCUGAGGCACGAAAGCGUGGGGAGCAAACAGGAUUAGAUACCCUGGUAGUCCACGCCGUA